AAACUUCUUUGAUGCUGAUAAGUCAAGUUGAAUGUGGACCAGAAACUUGCCAUUUUUGGAAACUUGAAAUUACAGGUCAUUUUCCAUUUUUGGUAACUUUUGCCAUGAUAUCAAAAUCUUCAAGAUACAUGUUUAGAAUGACAAAUGGACCUCUUUUGAACAUGAUUGAGGUGUUUCAACUCAUUUCCCCACCUCAUAGCCCUCAGUUGACUGCAUAGUUGACUAUCUGG
rnacentral:lncRNA from 1 species